UCCUGGCUCUCUGUCUCUGCUGUAACAGGUAGUGUGUGUGUACCUGGGGACAGUAACUGUAGUAACUGUAGUUGUUUCUGAUGGAACUCUCUCCUGACUCUCUGUCUCUGCUGUAACAGGUAGUGUGUGUGUACCUGGGGACAGUAACUGUAGUAACUGUAGUUGUUUCUGAUGGAACUCUCUCCUGGCUCUCUGUCUCCUGACACACAGCUGUAGUCUCAGCUCCUCCUCCCAGCACUCAGCCUGAGCCUGCUGCACUCUCCUCUGCCGCCGCUCCCUACACACACACACACACACACACACACACACACACACACACACACACACACACACACACAACUGUCUGGAAUUAUUCUGAUCUUAUUUAACAUGUAUUUUGACAGGAAGUCAUGAUGAGACCAACAUCUCUUCUACAGAUGAGCCCUGGAAUUACAAAAAAUAUAUACAUCAAUACAAAUACAAAACAGAGAUACAAAACACGAUCAUAGAUCGGUGAAAAAAAGAAAGCCCCCACACACACACACACACACACACACACACACACACACACACACACACACACACACACGGACACACAGACACACAGACACACACAGACACACACAGACACACACACACGGACACACAGACACACGGACACACAGACACACAGACACACAGACACACAGACACACAGACACACAGACACACAGACACACGGACACACACACACGGACACACACACACGGACACACACACACGGACACACACACACGGACACACACACACGGACACACACGGACACACACACACACGGACACACACACACACGGACACACACACACACGGACACACACACACACACACGGACACACACACACGGACACACACACACGGACACACACACACACACACACGGACACACGGACACACACACAGACACAGACACACACACGGACACAGACACACACGGACACACACACACACACGACACACACACACACACACACGGACACAGACACACACACAGACACACACACAGACACAGACACACACACAGACACACACACACACGGACACACACACACACCUGAAGCUCCUCUGCAGUGAUCUGACAGCUCUGGGCAGACUCUUCACUCUCCUCCUGGUCUGAUAGGAUCUCCACGCUGCCUGGAUGACACACGCCGCUCUCACACACUCCUCUGGCCACGUCUGAUAACACAGAGAGAGUGUAAGGCACGCACACACACGAACAACAACAAACACACUAUAUUUUACCUCUGUGUGAUCAGCUGGUUUGGGGACUUUGUGCAGCAGCUUGAUCAGUUGGUCCACUUCCUCAUCGAAGCCCCGCCCCCUCCAUUCUCGACCAAUCAUGCCCUCCAACCCUGCAACACACAAACCAUAAACAUCAAGAUUGCUUUUGCAAGCAUAUAAAGUUAACCCAUGAAAAAAUAUAUAUAUCUUAACCUGGAAAUAUCCCCCUGACCUUUGAACCUGUGGAUGAUAAGCUGCAGGGCGGAUUCUUGUUGCCGGGCAACCAGGAGGAGCGUCCUAAUUGCUGCCCCUCCCACAGCAGGGUUGGAUGUGUGAGCCAUUCGGUACACGACGUCAUCCAGAAUCACAGACAAGGGGCCUUUUCCCAAACCUGCUACUAACUCACUACAGAGAGGCAGCGGGUAAUGAAUUUAAUUGAUAUGUGUGUGUGUGUGUGUGUGUGUGUGUGUGUGUGUGUGUGUGUGGUGAUAUGCUACCUGUUAGCUGUCAGAAGCUGAUGCCACAGUGACACACACACGGUUCCCACUCUCUCCUCCUCACUCAUUAACAUCCUCUCAUAGUGGUCUGACUGCAGGACUGAGAGAGAGAGAAGAGGGGUGCAUCGUUAGCUAGGUAAGGGGUCUAUUUGGUAAUGGACGUUAGAUCUCACCUUGUGUGGCCAGGUGACCAUGGGCUUUCAGAAGCCAACACACAGAGCCCAUCACCUUCCUGAAGAAACGAAACAUCUCAGGCUGCCCAUUCC
rnacentral:lncRNA from 1 species